rnacentral:rRNA from 1 species
CUUUCUUUGCUGGCGACCGGCGCACGGGUGAGUAACACGUAUCCAACCUGCCCUUUACUCGGGGAUAGCCUUUCGGAAGAAAGAUUAAUACCCGAUAGUAUAAUGAUUCCGCAUGGUUUCAUUAUUAAAGGAUUCCGGUAAAGGAUGGGGAUGCGUUCCAUUAGGUUGUUGGUGAGGUAACGGCUCACCAAGCCUUCGAUGGAUAGGGGUUCUGAGAGGAAGGUCCCCCACAUUGGAACUGAGACACGGUCCAA